UCAGUAGGUAGAAAGAAGGCUGAGACCUUUCCAGUUUGAGAUCCUUCAAGACUUACUGG
ensembl:miRNA